rnacentral:rRNA from 1 species
AUUGAACGCUGGCGGCAGGCCUAACACAUGCAAGUCGAGCGGAUGAAGGGAGCUUGCUCCUGGAUUCAGCGGCGGACGGGUGAGUAAUGCCUAGGAAUCUGCCCGGUAGUGGGGGAUAACGUCCGGAAACGGGCGCUAAUACCGCAUACGUCCUGAGGGAGAAAGUGGGGGAUCUUCGGACCUCACGCUAUCAGAUGAGCUUAGGUCGGAUUAGCUAGUUGGUGGGGUAAAGGCCUACCAAGGCGACGAUCCGUAACUGGUCUGAGAGGAUGAUCAGUCACACUGGAACUGAGACACGGUCCAGACUCCUACGGGAGGCAGCAGUGGGGAAUAUUGGACAAUGGGCGAAAGCCUGAUCCAGCCAUGCCGCGUGUGUGAAGAAGGUCUUCGGAUUGUAAAGCACUUUAAGUUGGGAGGAAGGGCAGUAAGUUAAUACCUUGCUGUUUUGACGUUACCAACAGAAUAAGCACCGGCUAACUUCGUG